rnacentral:ncRNA from 1 species
UAAAAGACAUCGAAAAGAAGAGUAGCAAUUAAGUGUUUGAAGAGAGUCUCUGGUUGGUGAGAAGAGGCAAUAACUGAUUGUGAAACACAUCUUGGAGUCGAUUUUCUGAACAGCCAGUAAGAAAAUCCGGGAAGCCCGUUAUAGCUGCGGUCGUUGUUAGACGACCAGAUAAGGUUAGUUUUGCGAGAAACUAAUAAAAAAAGGUGGAACCACGUAUUUUGCGUCCUUUGA